GAUGAACGCUGGCGGCGUGCCUAAUACAUGCAAGUCGAGCGAACAGACGAGGAGCUUGCUCCUCUGACGUUAGCGGCGGACGGGUGAGUAACACGUGGAUACCCUACCUAUAAGACUGGGAUAACUUCGGGAAACCGGAGCUAAUACCGGAUAAUAUAUUGAACCGCAUGGUUCAAUAGUGAAAGACGGUUUUGCUGUCACUUAUAGAUGGAUCCGCGCCGCAUUAGCUAGUUGGUAAGGUAACGGCUUACCAAGGCAACGAUGCGUAGCCGACCUGAGAGGGUGAUCGGCCACACGGGAACUGAGACACGGUCCAGACUCCGACGGGAGGCAGCAGUAGGGAAUCUUCCGCAAUGGGCGAAAGCCGGACGGAGCAACGCCGCGUGAGUGAUGAAGGUCUUCGGAUCGGAAAACUCUGUUAUUAGGGAAGAACAAAUGUGUAAGUAACUAUGCACGUCUUGACGGUACCUAAUCAGAAAGCCACGGCUAACUACGUG
rnacentral:rRNA from 1 species